UACAGAGGGGGCAAGCGUUGUUCGGAAUUACUGGGCGUAAAGGGCGCGUAGGCGGCCUGCUAAGUCGAACGUGAAAUCCCUGGGCUCAACCCAGGAACUGCGUCCGAUACUGGUUGGCUUGAAUCCGGGAGAGGGAUGUGGAAUUCCAGGUGUAGCGGUGAAAUGCGUAGAUAUCUGGAGGAACACCGAUGGCGAAGGCAAUCCCCUGGGCCUGCACUGACGCUCAUGCACGAAAGCGUGGGGCGCAAACAGG
rnacentral:rRNA from 1 species